UACGUAGGUGGCAAGCGUUGUCCGGAUUUAUUGGGUUUAAAGGGUGCGUAGGCGGUUUUUUAAGUCAGUGGUGAAAUCCUUCAGCUUAACUGGAGAGGUGCCAUUGAUACUGGGAAACUUGAGUACUGAUGAGGUAGGCGGAAUGGACGGUGUAGCGGUGAAAUGCUUAGAUAUCGGCCAGAACACCGAUAGCGAAGGCAGCUUACUAAGGAGUAACUGACGCUGAGGCACGAAAGUGUGGGGAUCAAACAGG
rnacentral:rRNA from 1 species